AACGGUCUAUACCUGCGGUACCUGCGGAGGGAUCAUUAUAAAAAUAUGGUCAAACCAUUCUCCUGUGAUUUACGUAAUGUGUAUACUUUGGCAGGCGUUGGGUCAUCUUCGAUCCAUCUUCUACGUUUGUGCUUACGCGCACGAAUGUCUGAAGCUGGCCUGCCAGAGGUUUUCAAUAAACACACACGUUUAAACUACAGUCUGAAAAUCUCUUUCGAGAGAAUAAAAACAAAUAUAAAU
rnacentral:misc_RNA from 1 species